rnacentral:rRNA from 1 species
CUGGCUCAGGAUGAACGCUAGCUACAGGCUUAACACAUGCAAGUCGAGGGGCAGCAUUGGGAUAGCUUGCUAUCCAGAUGGCGACCGGCGCACGGGUGAGUAACGCGUAUCCAACCUUCCCUAUAGUAGAGAAUAGCCCGGCGAAAGUCGGAUUAAUGCUCUAUGUUGUGUUUUUGAGGACAUCUGACGAACACCAAAGGUUCACCGCUAUAGGAUGGGGAUGCGUCUGAUUAGCUUGUUGGCGGGGUAACGGCCCACCAAGGCGACGAUCAGUAGGGGUUCUGAGAGGAAGGUCCCCCACAUUGGUACUGAGACACGGACCAAACUCCUACGGGAGGCAGCAGUGAGGAAUAUUGGUCAAUGGGCGAGAGCCUGAACCAGCCAAGUAGCGUGCAGGAAUGACUGCCCUAUGGGUUGUAAACUGCUUUUAUCAGGGAAUAAAGUGCGGCACGUGUGCCGUUUUGUAUGUACCUGAUGAAUAAGGACCGGCUAAUUCCGUGCCAGCCGCCGC